rnacentral:lncRNA from 7 species
UGGAGGUUGCUGGGUAGAGCCACGCAUCAUUUCACAACAGCAUGCAGUAGCAAGCAUUAAAAACUGUCCAGUAAGAACUCUACAGAACACGUAGUGGUGAACUCUAUCAGUACCCAGAACUGUCCUUGACCUUUCAUUUACCAGGAUUCCUUUUGAAAACAAUCAGUGAACAAUUACGGAUGCUAUGAGGUGUUUGUAGCCUGCUCCUCUUUCCUCUUGAGCAAACUGUGGAAGGCAACAUUUUCUUGGCAGUCAUUAACUCUCCUAAGAGGCUGGCAUUUACAACUGUUUCAAAAUCAACAGCAAGCAAAAUUUGCUCCCUUCUUGCACGUCCUACAAACUGAAACAUGGGGCAAGAUCCAGCCUUGACGGAAUUAUCUGACAUCUAUGUUCUGUGUCUUGCCUACACUUUUUGAGUAAAUUCCCUUAUAUGGAGAUGUCUUCAGUGAUGCAUGCAAUGACAAAAUGUUCUGAGAAUUGCGAAGGCCCAAACCUAAAAUACCACAUUAGAAAAAAGAAAUAUAAACCAAGACUUCCCUUGAGAGGGAGUGGUGGUGAAAAUCCCUGUCUUGGGAAGGGAUUUUAACCAUGGCUUCUGGAAGUUGUAAGUCUGUAACCCUGAGUCUUCUUGUUGGGAAAGAUUCUCCUCUGUAUUUAACUUUUUACAAUGUAAAUGUUAUCCACGUUCACAAGGAAGUAACUUCCUGAAGUGAAAGACUUAUACACGUUUGUACCUGUAGAGAUUCAGCUUUAUUUAAGAAGGUAUUCAGUUUUAACAUCUAACUGGUUGUUAAUUCACUGCUUUUUUCAUCGAGUCUAAUGCUGAAAUCCUUUUCUGUCCUCUUAUGAAAAUACAGCUUUAUUUUGCUUUGUAUCAGAUGAGGAGAGCUGUUGAUCAAUCAGCUUAAGGUGGAUGUUUGUGCAUUUUUAUUUUUUAUUUUUGAGAUUCACAACCUUCUCUUAAAAUGUAAUUGUUACAUUCUUAUCAGUGAGAGGAUAGCUUGACAGUAGUGUAAUGCCAUAUUACAUGCCUGGAUAGAGUUAAUAUUAAGAAAAAAAUAUAUAAAAAAACCCAACAACAACAACAACAAAAAAAAAAAACAACAAAACCAAACCUUAUCUGCAACUCAUUUAGUGUUAUGGAUUUCUUCUCCUCCACCCCACUCCUAAAUGUGAAUUACAGGUUUGCUUCUUGUGUUGUUUUUUAAUUUACUAAAACUAAUACACAAAUAGAAG